UCAAUGAUGAAUUUUGUAUCUUGUGAAAAUUACAAUGAUCAGUUACCUCUAAGAAGUUCUGAGAAG